rnacentral:misc_RNA from 1 species
AACAUCGCGCACCUGCGGGAACCUGCGGAGGGAUCAUUACAGAGUUCGUGCCCUCGCGGGUAGAUCUCCCACCCUUGUGUAUUUUCUACAUCUUGUUGCUUUGGCAGGCCGUUGGUUCGCCAACCACCGGCUCGCGGGCUGGUGCGUGCCUGCCAGAGGACCUCUCAAACUCGGUUUGUUAGUGUCGUCUGAGUACCAUAACAAUCGUUAAAACUUUUAACAAUGGAUCUCAGAUCGGAA